GGGACAGGACAUGCCAUGCACUGAUCAGCAUCAGUUCACUGCUUUCCAAAAUGUGUUUUCCCAUGUAUAGCUCUGUGUCCCACGGUGGGGUCACCCUAGGACAACAAAAGAGUUAAGGCUAAAAGCUCUUUUAAAAAAAAAAAAAAAAUAUUAAUCUCUUCCAGGGCAGGAGAGGUCAGGGGAAGGACGCCAGGACCGGCAGCGGGCACAGGCGAAGGCGCCACUGAGGCACCGGAGCAGGGCUGAGCCCUCAGCGCUGCCCGCAGGCGGUUCUAGAAUCCGCCCGGCUGACACCCCUCAGCGAUUCGGCUGCAACCGGCCAGUGAGAGACACCCGGGCACCCCUGGGACAACACCGAGCCACUCGUGAGGGAAACCCGGGCACCGCUGUGGUGACACCAGACCAGUUGGGAGGAAAAUGCGGGCACCCCUACGACAUCUGUGGGACACUGUGAGGAUCCUCGGAAUCUGCUUUAAGCCACCUUUUCUAGAGAACAGGUAUCCUUGAGAUGCCUUGCCGACUGCUAGACAGCAAGUAUGCGAUGCUUCCUGGCCAGUGAGCAGGACAGACAAAUUGCUUUCCAAGCUGUGUAACGCAGGUCUGAAAUAGAGGAAAAUAUGAGUCAGCACUUCAAAGGCUCAGACAUGCUGGUAAACCAGGAAAUGAAGCUCAGAUGGCCAAGGAACACCCAUUCAGAACAGUUCCAGCUAGAAGAGCACAGUGCUGUUAUCAAGAUCUGCAAGGGCAUACAGGACCAGAGAUUGGUGAAAAAGUUGUUGUCUUUCUCCUAAACAGCUGUUCCACAGGUUUCUCAUAGUAAUUUCAAGCAGGCAGCUGUAUUUCUGUCCACAGAAAUCACCAACAUUCUACGCUGCUGGAGGUUACCUGAAUUUGUGUAAGCAGUAUAAUCUACCACUUCUCAGCAACAGAUUCCUCAAGGGCAACUGAACUGAGACAUUGACAUUUCAGGAGAUCUGUAGCAAACAUCAUAAACUGACGUUUGAGAGCUUAGCUUGCGAUAUUUCUGACAAUGGAUUACAUAAAUACACUACGCCAAAACUGUUUGUAAAUGCCAUCCAGUGCCAAAAAUGUUUGCAAAUGUCACAGGGAACCACCCAAUAUGAAAAGGAUCCUUUCCUUAAUCUAGAUUGAUUACUUCUGCACAAAGGCCUGACCUACAGGCUACAGAACACAAACAGUGCUUCACUGAUGCCUGCUGUGCCCCCCUGUGACUCCCAUCAGUAGGAAAUGAAACCAUGCAGUGACUUACAGGAACUGUUCACUGUUUUUCUGCAUCAGAUAUCUUGAAAAAAACAUCAUUUUCAAUUUCAGAGAGUAUCAGAAGGACAAUUUGGUGAUAAGACAAUGGGUGUUUGGGAACUGAAGAGAGAACACAGGUCUAUUACCCUGACUAACAGAAGAUGCAGCUAACCUGUUAGAUCAUGUUACUCAGACCCUGGUUCCUAGACAAUAGAUCCACUAAAUCAUGCUCUCACUGGAGAGUGUCACCUUUGUGUAUCGAAUACACACUUACUGGUCUGUGAUUUCUUCCAUUCUUCCACAUUCUAGAAAGUCUUGGAUUAAAAGUGAUUUUUUUAGGUGGUCUGUGUUGUUGGCAAAUAUCUUAUCAAGCUUCUAUUUUAAUAAUUCAGGCUGAAAAUGCUAAGUCAAAGACUUUCUUUCGAACAUGCACUCUGAAUUUAAGCCACUGUUGUUUGUACCUGAAGUUAUCUGUUAUAAAUGGUGUCUAUCAGUUUCAUGACUUCCAAAUAUGAAUACAAUAUAAAUAAGAGAUUAUUUGGUUUGGGUUUUUUUCAAUUCUAGUAACCAGUUUCUAUUAAUUUUGUGAAUGUAUAUUUAAAUAGAUACUUCCCUCUUCAGUUGUACAUUUCAAAUUCUAACUAAAAAAAAAAGAAUCACUAAAAGUGUUUUUGGCUAUGAGAACUUGUCAGUGAAGAAACUACACAAUCCCAUCUACUCAAAGCCCUACACUACCUACCUGAAAUCUGCUUUCAGCUAAAUGGAGAAAGUAACUUUGAAAAUUUCUCUUCCUGGAAAUUCAUGGGCUUUUCCAGCACUCUGCCACUCCAAAGAAGAGAUCAGACUUUGGAGCAUUCAAGCUAUCGCUGUACACAGUGGAAUAACACAUCAUCAAAAGGGGUCUCCUCUAAUGCAUUGUUUUGAAGAUCAUGAAUGGUAACUAAGGGUUAUGGAUCCCAGGGCUCUCAUAUCCAUCUGCACUUGCACACAGAACACUCUGACUGACCAGAUGGCUUCUUACAAAACAACAUGUUUAUAUGAAUAGUUUCCAAAACACUUUCUGGUGGCAUGCUUAUUUUCUGUAAGAGUCCUGCAGAUGGUUCCCUUCCCCUACCUAUAUGUUCUCCAAAAUAUAUCUUCUGAACUAGCUGUUAUACAAUCUUCAGCUACAUAUGCUGAAAUUUGACUAUGAAUAUCUAAAGCUGGCAAUUUUCUUAAAAUAAUCUCCAUAAAAAGAAACUUAACAAGCAAUUAUAGAUCAGCUAGUUUAAGUGCAGCUGUAGAAUAAAUAUUACAAACUAGUUUGCAGGAUUUAGUAGGCCAAAAAGUAAGCUUGAAAGCCACAAUUUAAUCACAGGCAAUUCAUGUAGAUUUGGACACGGGUGGUCUUGUUUAACUUGUAUUCUUUGACAGUAUUACUGCCAUGGCAAACAAGGGCAAUUAAGUUGAUAUCAGUGCUUUAGGUUUAUAAUUGUCAUGAAGUCUGAUAUUGAUUCUACUAACCAGGAGGUAACGUAACUUACUGGGCAGGAAACUGGCUCAAGAAGGGCAGAUUUUGUGAAAAGAACAUUAUUCAGAUAUAUCAGAGAGAUCUGUGGGGUGUACACACAUGACGCAUGAAGCAGUGAGGUACUGAAAUGGUCCUGAACAACUAUGCAAUAAAUUGCUCUUAUCAUCCACAUUUACCACUAUGUGUUCACUCUAGUAGCUAUCACUAUAGAGACAAUUUAGUGGAUUCUCACCUGCUGAGUAGUUUAAAAAAUUAUACCAAGAAAAAUUCUCUUAAUAUCAAAUAAAAAUAUUCACUUUGGCCAGUCUGGUGCUCUUUGAUGACUUGGAUGCCACAUAAAAACAUGCAUUAGGGCAUAACAUAAUAUUCUAUAUGUUUGUGGACAUUUUAUAUUGAAAAUUCUGUGCCAUUUUAAAACAUAUUAAUAUUUAGGGAUUUGAUUGAAAAGGGACAGAAAGAUAUACAGCUUUGGUAGUUUAAAACAUGAGCGCUCCCAUGUUGGAAAGUGGACACCACCAUACAGUAGGGAAAGCAAAACAUUUAGGCAUCUGCACUUGUUUACAACCCCAACGCUUUAGCACAUUCUCAACUAUUGAUUGUUUGUGUCGCAAACUCCUCUGUGCUCUCCUUCUCUGGAGGAGUCAGCUCCAGCAGAAUAAUGGGGCAAAUUGUUAUGGACAGAGAGGGUAACUAGGAAAUAAAGCAUCCAGACAUGUCUAUUCUUAUUUACUAGAGAAUUUAAGAAAAUACAUAGAAAAUAAAACCCUUUCUCAUUAAAUUAGGUAUACUAUUAGAGCAAAAUUUUUAGAAGAAUCCUACUCACGUAAUCAUGCCAGAAAUUGUUUUACAUUAUAAAAAGAAAGAACUAGAUGAUUACAAACAAGCUUUCUUCACAAAUCAUGUAUACUUAUUAAUGACACAAAAAAAUCUGAAACUUUGAUAAUAACUGUUACUUGAAGGGAAGGAAGAAAGAAAAUGUCCUGUAAGAUCUCUUAGCUAUUCAAGCAGGAAUAUGUUCUAUGUGCUUGCAAUAAAAGUUUUUAUUAAUCCUCUAUGUCAAUCUCUUUCAAAUGUAAAAAUUUCAAAUAUAAUUUUAUAACUGUUAAUCAGAUGCA